rnacentral:lncRNA from 1 species
GGAAAACCUUGAGGCUUCGCCCACAUGGAUUAAGUAAAAUGCUUUAAGUGACUUUUGGGUACUUAUAAAAAACAAUUUACAUAAAUGGAUGUGCUGUUCGAAGAGGGGAGAGAGGGUGGUUUUGAUUUCUUCUAAACUUUCUUUUCCCUUUAGUUUAAUAGCUGCAGAGGCCUCAAAGAAGCCACUCUUUUUAAUAAAACCGGCUUGUAAAUGUAUUGAGACAGACUCCAAUUGACCCUAUUUCAGGUGGCUCUCUGGGGCCUCCCACAUCCAGCCGCCUGAGGUUCCAGAUUCCGGGGGCCAGAGGAGCCCCUCCUCCGUGACUCACGCUACCUGCACCUGAGAUGCCUCUACUCACGCUGGUGCAUUGGAGCGCUACAGGUAAUUGACCAUUCUCUGAAAUCAGUGCCCUAAUGAACCUGUGUCCUGGUGUGUUCUCUGUCUCCUCCCACCAGAAAUCCUCUGGAAUAGGAAGCCGACUGACUUGGGUUCAAAUCGUGACUGUCACUUUCUUAAACUUGGACAAAUUAAUCAACUUAUCUCUGCCACCAUCUGUUUUCUUCACUUGUAAAGUAGGUAUAAAAAAAGGGUACU